rnacentral:misc_RNA from 1 species
GUGCAACACUGGCACCGCAGGUGACUGUGCACAAGCCUGUUCUUUCGAAGGAGGCGGAAGCAGAUGCACUGGACAAGGCAGGAAAGACCUUGGAAACUGUGGGACGACUCUUGCAGGGAGAAGACGUUGCACUGACUCCAGAUGCACAAGAACACCUUAUAAGUGCCCUCCGGGUCGCAUCUGCAAACGGCGAAGUCUUGAGUGAAGAAGGCUCCGAGUACAUCCUGCCAAUCAUUAUUCGUGGCGUUGUUCAGGGUGCGAUCGCCCAUGUUGUCCACAAGAAGUUGAACAAAGGAUAAACACAUAUCCCUGUGAAACAAAUGAAGCCUAGCUGCAGCGCUAUCGUGUGACCACAAGCAGCCUCCAAAACCACAUUUCCAGUAGCUUUGUUUGUAAGCGUGAUCUUCAGGGAACCACGUAGUUUUCAACGUAAUAAAGCUUUGUCUAAUCUGGUGAAACCCAUCUUCUCUUCGUAUUUCACGCUUUGUUGUUUUUCAUGAAGCUGGCAAUGCUGCUGUCGUAUGCAGUACAUACACUCUUUAU